AUAAAUUCAGUGAUGGGGCCAGUACAGGCUGUCAUUGUUCCCAGAGAGUUGGCGGAAGGUGCAAGCCAAUGAACAAUGCGCUAUGGAAAAUCUCCCCGGAGAAGCGCGGCUGAACCAUAAUUGCAGUAAGCCAAGCCGGAUUGCCUGUCGUUAACAAGGCACCGCAUAGUAUAGUGCGGGUACAAGUGUCAUUUUAUCUGUGGGGAUUUAUUUCUGCAGCCACAAGUACAUUUCAUGGAUGAUUCAGCUCUUUUACAGGCUGAUUUCCAAAAAAAAGUACAGUAGGCCAGGAAAAGAUUCUCAGCUUCGAAAGCAAACAGAUAAGGUGGAACAAGGGUGGUAACGCGAGCAGCCUCGUCCCUUUU
rnacentral:ncRNA from 1 species